GCAGGUGUGAUGAUAUCUUCCUACAUGAGACUUCUGUGAUGUUUCUUGUAUUCAUACUGUCUGACCUGG
ensembl:snoRNA small nucleolar RNA SNORD41